rnacentral:lncRNA from 1 species
CCGUGGUUGUGUCCCCGUCAGCGUUCAGCCCCAGUACCGCGCAGAGCGCACGGAAGUCGGCGCGCGGUAGGCGGCCUGCGCCCCGGCAGUCCAAGUGGUGGAAAACCUCCUGCAGAUACUGGUCCAGACCGGUAGCCAGCACCACGAUCUCAUUCUCCACGCCGCGGUCCAGCCCAUAGUGGCCUUUCCGCUAUUGUCACCAGAGGCUGGAGCGCCUGCGCCUGCAGUUGUAUUCUGCAGUUCCCAGCCCUCGCCGGCAACCUGCCUAGUGUUCUCUGCCCCAGUUGAAAGGCCUCUUCUCCAGAAUGCUUCCUAAACUCUCCCUCCCCUACGUACGUAACUAGAACCAAGGAGGAGACAAACUUGGAAGUGGAUGAAGUUUUGGUGAGAGAAAAGUGGUUGUCUACCUCGGCCACCUUUGGGCUCCAGGUGGUGACUUGGCCUGAGUCCCUUCCGCUGGCUUGGAUGAGAGACGUGGUAGACUCCAUCUGUUGCCUGCCUUGGGAACCUUACCCAGCCACAUUGGAGCAAAGAGCAAACUCAGCGGCCCUUGACUAUUAGAUAAGCAGAUCUUGUUUUGUGUACAAAUCCCAGUUGCAAAGCAUUAUUUUGUUUCCUCCAUUAUAGCACCCCGGGCCAGCAUUUUGUCCUUUGUCCCACACAUUCCGGGAAGGAAUCGGACAACCCAAGCAUUUUGGAUAUACAUAUAUAUUAAUUAU